GGCACUGUAGUAUAGUGGAUAUCACGCGUCUGGCUGUAACUGGACGAGACCUCAGUUCAACUCCGGGCGGGGCCU